UACGUAGGGGGCUAGCGUUGUCCGGAAUCAUUGGGCGUAAAGCGCGUGUAGGCGGUCCGGUAAGUCCGCUGUGAAAGUCGAGGGCUCAACCCUCGAAUGCCGGUGGAUACUGUCGGGCUUGAGUACGGGAGAGGCGAGUGGAAUUCCUGGUGUAGCGGUGAAAUGCGCAGAUAUCAGGAGGAACACCGAUUGCGAAGGCAGCUCGCUGGAACGUUACUGACGCUGAGGAGCGAAAGCGUGGGGAGCGAACAGG
rnacentral:rRNA from 1 species